rnacentral:rRNA from 1 species
GAUGAACGCUAGCGGCAGGCUUAAUACAUGCAAGUCGAGGGGUAGCAAGAUUGUAGCAAUACAAUUGUUGACGACCGGCAAACGGGUGCGGAACACGUACACAACCUUCCUACAAGUGGGGAAUAGCCCAGAGAAAUUUGGAUUAAUACCCCGUAACAUAGCGAUGUGGCAUCACAUUGCUAUUAUAGCUUCGGCGCUUGUUGAUGGGUGUGCGGCUGAUUAGAUAGUUGGCGGGGUAACGGCCCACCAAGUCUACGAUCAGUAGCUGAUGUGAGAGCAUGAUCAGCCACACGGGCACUGAGACACGGGCCCGACUCCUACGGGAGGCAGCAGUAAGGAACAUUGGACAAUGGACGCAAGUCUGAUCCAGCCAUGCCGCGUGAAGGAUUAAGGUCCUCUGGAUUGCAAACUUCUUUUAUAAGGGACGAAAAAAGGUCUUUCUAGAUCGUCUGACGGUACCUUAUGAAUAAGCACCGGCUAACUCCGUGCCAGCCGCCGCAGUAACAC